UAAAUUGGAUUAAGAAUAUGCGCCCACCAAAUUCAUCCAUCAAACACGAAACAAAACUCACUUUAUUUUCGUUCGAUAUGAAGCUCCCUCUGUGCAUCACUCUCAUGAUCUUCUUGCUUCUCUUGGUCAUGUUUGSGAGUACCAUAGAGUCCAGAAAAGAAUUGAAAGAUCAUUGGUACAAAAAUGUGAUGGAAGAUGAGUCAUUGCCUAAUUUAAAGCCACAUUUUCUUGGAGGUGAAAAGUAUUUCAUUAAGAAGCUUGAACCAAGUACUGACAAUGCUUUACUUGUCUAUAAAAUGAAACGAUCAUCUCCCACAUUCUUUCAGAAAAAACUAGCUCUCAUUAAAGCUAUAGAACCUAACCCAAUAGAGCUUGAACCAAGCACUGACAAUGCUUUACUUUCCUA